GUGCUCACUCCAGCAACACAUAUACUAAAAUUGAAAUGAUACAGAGAAGAUUAGCAUGGCCCCUGCACAAGGGUGACACACAAAUUCAUGAAGCAUUCCAUAUUUUU